rnacentral:misc_RNA from 1 species
AAAGUGCGAUAACUAGUGUGAAUUGCAUAUUCAGUGAAUCAUCGAAUCUUUGAACGCACAUUGCGCCCGCCAGUAUUCUGGCGGGCAUGCCUGUCCGAGCGUCAUUUCAACCAUCAAGCCCCCGGGCUUGUGUUGGGGACCUGCGGCUGCCCGCAGGCCCUGAAAACCAGUGGCGGGCUCGCUGUCACACCGAGCGUAGUAGCAAUCACCUCGCUCAGGGCGUGCUGCGGGUUCCGGUCGUUAAACAGCCUUACAAAACCCAAGGUUGACCUCGGAUCAGGUAGGAAGACCCGCUGAACUUAAGC